rnacentral:rRNA from 1 species
UAUCAGAAGUGCGAAUGCUGACAUAAGUAACGAUAAAGCGGGUGAAAAGCCCGCUCGCCGGAAGACCAAGGGUUCCUGUCCAACGUUAAUCGGGGCAGGGUGAGUCGACCCCUAAGGCGAGGCCGAAAGGCGUAGUCGAUGGGAAACGGGUUAAUAUUCCCGUACUUGGUGUUACUGCGAAGGGGGGACGGAGAAGGCUAUGUUGGCCGGGCGACGGUUGUCCCGGUUUAAGCGUGUAGGUGUGUGUUCCAGGUAAAUCCGGUUCACUUUAACACUGAGGCGUGACGACGAGGCACUACGGUGCUGAAGCAACAAAUGCCCUGCUUCCAGGAAAAGCCUCUAAGCAUCAGGUAACAUCAAAUCGUACCCCAAACCGACACAGGUGGUCAGGUAGAGAAUACCAAGGCGCUUGAGAGAACUCGGGUGAAGGAACUAGGCAAAAUGGUGCCGUAACUUCGGGAGAAGGCACGCUGACAUGUAGGUGAAGU